GGUCUGGGUCCUGGUUCUGGUCCGGGGUCCGGGUCUGGUCCUGGCCCGGGUCCUGGUUCUGGUCCGGGCC
rnacentral:miRNA from 1 species